GUGCGACUAGUGGCAGGCAAUAGACCCGAAGCGGAGGUGAUCUACUUUUGAGCAGGUUGAAGGCUGGGUAACACCAGGUGGAGGACCGAACUCGUGGAUGUUGAAAAAUCCUGAGAUGACUUGAGAGUAGGAGCGAAAGACUAAUCAAACCCCGUGAUAGCUGGUUCUCUCCGAAAUAGCUUGAGGGCUAGCGUCGGAUAAGUAC
rnacentral:rRNA from 1 species